GAAUGCUGACAUAAGUAACGAUAAAGCGGGUGAAAAGCCCGCUCGCCGGAAGACCAAGGGUUCCUGUCCAACGUUAAUCGGGGCAGGGUGAGUCGACCCCUAAGGCGAGGCCGAAAGGCGUAGUCGAUGGGAAACGGGUUAAUAUUCCCGUACUUGGUGUUACUGCGAAGGGGGGACGGAGAAGGCUAUGUUGGCCGGGCGACGGUUGUCCCGGUUUAAGCGUGUAGGUGUGUGUUCCAGGUAAAUCCGGUUCACUUUAACACUGAGGCGUGACGACGAGGCACUACGGUGCUGAAGCAACAAAUGCCCUGCUUCCAGGAAAAGCCUCUAAGCAUCAGGUAACAUCAAAUCGUACCCCAAACCGACACAGGUGGUCAGGUAGAGAAUACCAAGGCGCUUGAGAGAACUCGGGUGAAGGAACUAGGCAAAAUGGUGCCGUAACUUCGGGAGAAGGCACGCUGACACGUAGGUGAAGUGAUUUACUCAUGGAGCUGAAGUCAGUCGAAGAUACCAGCUGGCUGCAACUGUUUAUUAAAAACACAGCACUGUGCAAACACGAAAGUGGACGUAUACGGUGUGACGCCUGCCCGGUGCCGGAAGGUUAAUUGAUGGGGUCAGCGCAAGCGAAGCUCCUGAUCGAAGCCCCGGUAAACGGCGGCCGUAACUAUAACGGUCCUAAGGUAGCGAAAUUCCUUGUCGGGUAAGUUCCGACCUGCACGAAUGGCGUAAUGAUGGCCAGGCUGUCUCCACCCGAGACUCAGUGAAAUUGAACUCGCUGUGAAGAUGCAGUGUACCCGCGGCAAGACGGAAAGACCCCGUGAACCUUUACUAUAGCUUGACACUGAACAUUGAGCCUUGAUGUGUAGGAUAGGUGGGAGGCUUUGAAGUGUGGACGCCAGUCUGCAUGGAGCCGACCUUGAAAUACCACCCUUUAAUGUUUGAUGUUCUAACGUGGACCCGUUACCCGGGUUGCGGACAGUGUCUGGUGGGUAGUUUGACUGGGGCGGUCUCCUCCUAAAGAGUAACGGAGGAGCACGAAGGUUGGCUAAUCCUGGUCGGACAUCAGGAGGUUAGUGCAAUGGCAUAAGCCAGCUUGACUGCGAGCGUGACGGCGCGAGCAGGUGCGAAAGCAGGUCAUAGUGAUCCGGUGGUUCUGAAUGGAAGGGCCAUCGCUCAACGGAUAAAAGGUACUCCGGGGAUAACAGGCUGAUACCGCCCAAGAGUUCAUAUCGACGGCGGUGUUUGGCACCUCGAUGUCGGCUCAUCACAUCCUGGGGCUGAAGUAGGUCCCAAGGGUAUGGCUGUUCGCCAUUUAAAGUGGUACGCGAGCUGGGUUUAGAACGUCGUGAGACAGUUCGGUCCCUAUCUGCCGUGGGCGCUGGAGAACUGAGGGGGGCUGCUCCUAGUACGAGAGGACCGGAGUGGACGCAUCACUGGUGUUCGGGUUGUCAUGCCAAUGGCACUGCCCGGUAGCUAAAUGCGGAAGAGAUAAGUGCUGAAAGCAUCUAAGCACGAAACUUGCCCCGAGAUGAGUUCUCCCUGAGACUUAAAGUCUCCUGAAGGAACGUUGAAGACGACGACGUUGAUAGGCCGGGUGUGUAAG
rnacentral:rRNA from 1 species